AUCCUACGGGGGGCAGCAGUGAGGAAUAUUGGUCAAUGGGCGGGAGCCUGAACCAGCCAAGUCGCGUGAGGGAAGACGGUCCUACGGAUUGUAAACCUCUUUUGCCGGGGAGCAACGGGGUCCUUGCGAGGGCCCGAUGAGAGUACCCGGAGAAAAAGCAUCGGCUAACUCCGUGCCAGCAGCCGCGGUAAUACGGAGGAUGCGAGCGUUAUCCGGAUUGAUUGGGCGUAAAGGGUGCGUAGGCGGUCGAUUAAGUCUGGAGUGAAAGGUACCGGCUCAACCGGUAUAGGCUCCGGAAACUGAUG
rnacentral:rRNA from 1 species